GACGAACGCUGGCGGCGUGCCUAAUACAUGCAAGUGGGACGCAAGGAAACACACUGUGCUUGCACACCGUGUUUUCUUGAGUCGCGAACGGGUGAGUAACGCGUAGGUAACCUGCCUAUUAGCGGGGGAUAACUAUUGGAAACGAUAGCUAAUACCACAUAAUAUUAAUUAUUGCAUGAUAAUUGAUUGAAAGAUGCAAGCGCAUCACUAGUAGAUGGACCUGCGUUGUAUUAGCUAGUUGGUAAGGUAAGAGCUUACCAAGGCGACGAUACAUAGCCGACCUGAGAGGGUGAUCGGCCACACUGGGACUGAGACACGGCCCAGACUCCUACGGGAGGCAGCAGUAGGGAAUCUUCGGCAAUGGACGAAAGUCUGACCGAGCAACGCCGCGUGAGUGAAGAAGGUUUUCGGAUCGUAAAGCUCUGUUGUAAGUCAAGAACGUGUGUGAGAGUGGAAAGU
rnacentral:rRNA from 1 species